AUGAAUAUAUUAUUGUAGAACGCAGCGGAAGUUUUCGGUUCGUACCUUUUUGCGGAAGCGAUUCGAGCCGGAUCGGAUUGAUUGAUUUACGUGUCUUUGAAUCUUCCUUGAAAAUCUUCUAACUCUUCGAACUCGCGGUGGAUCGAACUACAAACGAGCGCGAUCGCAAAUCCACCGUGCAAGUCCCUCUAGAAUAAUAGGUCAAUGGAGGAUGUGGUUUCUCUCUAUUAUUUUCUUAUUCUCUCUCUUUUUCCGUUCUUUCCGUAUAUAUUCCGUUAUGUGGGAUCGCCCGCAUAUUUAUAAGGAAUUCCAAAAUCCUAAUAGCGUUAGAGAUAAGGCUAAAUCGGUUAUUAUUUGUUAUCCUAAUAUGAUUAGAUUUAUCUCUAAUUAGCUUUCCAAUUUGAAAGCGAGAUUAAUCCUAAUCCAAUUAG
rnacentral:lncRNA from 1 species